rnacentral:lncRNA from 8 species
AUCUUCCAAAGGGCAUUUCUACUACUUGUCUCCUAAGUUUAUCAACUUUUGAAGCAGAAUAACUUUCCCAGGUUUCCUUCAACUACAAUGUAAGCAAAUUACUUACAUUUUACUUAAGCCUCAACAGAGAAAUCUGGACACAUUUCUCCAACAGAAUGACAGCAGAAUCCUCAAGAUUGGGGGAGUCAAACUAAUUCCAUGGAGGGCCAAGUGUAUGCUGGUUUUUCUUUUUUUCUUUCAAUUAAAACCUAGACAACCAGGUGAUGGGAGUAAAUUACUAAUUAGUGACCUUAAUUAAUCAAUCAAGUACAAGGGAGGAGUGAAAAUCCGCAGACACUCGGCCCUCCGUGGAAUGAGUUUGAUAUGUGCUCUAGAUCCAUACUACCGUCUCCAAAUUAUAAUUGUUGCAAGGGGCAGGAUUUAUUUCCUCUACUUCUCCCUGGGCCAGCCUCUGGUCAUGGUUAGGACCGGCACCAGUCCUGUGGUGGUCAUGGUGAGCCCAAGACCCGGCCAAGACCUUGCCCAUCUCCUGCUGUCCACCAUAAGGCUCAUCAAGACAGCGAGGACACAUGGCGCGAGCAGAUCACCAACAGAACUGUUGCCCCCAUUAUUAAGGUUUCUGUUCCAACGCUUAUGUUGCUACUGUAGGUAUCUCUAAAAAGGUUGUCUUUCAGGCCUACCUGAUGACAGAGGUUCCACAAGAAGGAUAGGUUGCAGCACAGUAAUGUGACGAUCAAUAAAAGGCUGGUACCAGCAUUAACAACCACUCACAGCAACUCUACUGACACUCUGGAUGUUGUCUUUGGGGUUGGGGUUUUUCUGCCAUCUGCAUGUGUUUAUCCUGAACUGCAUUAGGCUGAUCAAGUGAAGUUUGCAUCAUAGUCAACAGGUCAAGCUUCCUCCAGUUGAAGCCAAGGUUGCAUAAAUUAUGCUGAAUGGGCAUAGGCUACCCAUGAAAGGUACUUAAGCACUGAACGUUUAUUUUUCUGUUGUGAUCAUUUUACUAUACCGUAUGAGCCAAUAGAGGAGGCUUGAAUUGAUGGAGCUGUUAGCCUCUUGGCCUAGCCCAAGGCUUUAGCGAUAGAUGCCUCUACAUCAGCCACUCAACAAAAGCUAGUAGCCAUCAGAGAGAGUGAGUAUGUGCCUUGCUUCCCUUUUAAUUUAAAUCUCACCUCUGAUGGCUACCCCACUAGAUCCCAAAUGGUACAUAAUGCUAUCUGCUUGUCACUACAGAACUAACUUAUAUACUAUGAAACACAUAAGAUCUAGUGUUAACAAAUCAUGACUCAAGAGGUGGAGUUUUCUUUAGAUUGAUGAGAUAAUGCUCACAAAGAGAGAGGGAGAGAGAGGGGGAGAGAGAGAGUGAGUCAUAACUGUAACUCUAAAGGCUCAUGAUGCCAUCCUCCAGUCUACGAGGGGGGAGGGGAGGAAUCAUCCAUGGAGAUGAAACUCACAGACCAAAACAUGGCAACUCAACAGUAGUGUUAAAUUGUCCCAACGGUUUUUCAUACAAAUAGACUGGGUUUUAGGCAGAUCCUGGUGAGAACAUGUUUGACAAGUUAACAUGACUGGUAUACCUUGACAGUUACAGACAUAACAACAGUUGUGUAUCACAUGUUGUUGGGGAAUAGUACCAUGAAGGAUGUGGGGAUGUUUGUGUCUAAUGAAAAUGAGGCAGGUGGUAGCUGUUAUAUUACCCUAUAGUUAUAGUGAGUUCUUCUCUGCUUAUGAGUGCAAGAUAAAACAAAAAGGAGAGGAGAAAAAUCAUCUUUGCUGAAUACAUUCCCAUUCCUCUUUUGCUGACUCACACACUAAACUUAAACUGCUUUGAGGGCCAGACCAUUCAUCACAUAACAUCCACAAGCUCUUUCUCUGCUAGUUCUAGCCAAGUACUAAACUCAAAAUAAAUUAGGCUAUAGCGCAAUAAAGCAAAAUGAGAGUUUUUCUCUUGCUUUUUUAUUUUAUGUCAAAUUAUGUUUUAUGGAAAGUCUCUGAACAUGCAUAGUCAAACUGCAUUAGAGAUGAUAUAGAAGAUUCUUCAUCAAUCUUCGGUAACAUUAGUAUUUGGCAGGUAGCCUAGUGGUUAGAGCAUUGUGUCAGUAACUGAAAGGUUGCUGGAUCGAAUCCCUGAGCUGACAAGGUAAAAAUAUGUUGUUCUGCCCCUGAGCAAGGCAGUUAACCCACUGUUCUGCAGGCGUAGUGGAUGUUGACUAAGGCAGCUCCCCGCACCUCUCUAAUUCAGAGGGGUUGGGUUAAAUGAGGAAGACACAUUUCAGUUGGACAACUGACUAGGUUUUCCCUAUUCAUACUGCCGCUUUUGGUUGAUAGGAUAUGGGGAUGCACAGCCUACGUUCAGCAGAAAUAACAGGGGGAAAUCUUCAGCUCCCUUGUAUGAUGAUGAAUCUAUUCGGCUCAAACACUUUUCAAAUCAGAACCUCGAAAUCCCUCACAAAAUUAUUCCACUGUCACAAAGGAAACACAAGGUGAUCGCCACAUUAUUUUGGAGAGAUUGGAAACCCUAAUUGGUCUACACCGACAAGUUCUUGCUUGGUUUAGAUCUUAUCUGUCGGAAAGAUAUCAGUUUGUAUCUGUAUAUGGUUUGUCCCUUGAGAAAUGAAUGGUAAGUUUCAGUGUUCUUCAAGGUUCCGAUUAAGGACCACUAUUGUUUUCACUUUAUAGGCUACCUCUUGGUGAUGUCAUUCAGAAACACACUGUCAACUUUCACUGCUAUACAGACGACCAACAGCUGUACAUUUCGAUGAAACUUGGUGAAGCCCCAAAAUUGUCUACCUUAGAAGCCUGUGUUUCAGACAUAAGGAAGUGAAUCUUGGAUUUUUUUUUAUUUA